AGCGCAGACGGUUAUUUAAGCAAGAUGUGAAAGCCCCGGGGCUCAACCUGGGAACUGCGUUUUGAACUGGGUAACUAGAGUGUGUCAGAGGGGGGUAGGAAUUCCACGUGUAGCAGUGAAAUGCGUAGAGAUGUGGAGGAAUACCGAUGGCGAAGGCAGCCCCCUCGGGAUAACACUGACGCUCAUGCUCGAAAGCGUGGGUAGCAAACA
rnacentral:rRNA from 1 species